rnacentral:lncRNA from 1 species
UGAAAUUAAUAAUGAUUUUGAAAAAUAGAGUACACGGAGACUGUUAAUUGUGGCAAUUUGAUUGUUUAAAUUGAUGGCUUAUGUUAUAUUGUUAUUGUGUUGGCAUGACUGGCUGGGCUGUGUUUUAUGAAUUGUAUGAAUUGUUUUAUUUUACCCUUGCAGGCUAGGUAGUAUUUCAUUAGCCCUGUGAUGCCAUCAAAAUUUUAUUAUAUGGUGGAUUAUAAAUUAAUUAAUCACUGCAAUAGGGGGUUUUUGUGGACCAACCUUUUAAAGGGGCACAGUAAACCCCAUUAUAUUCUUACCUCGAAUGGAGAGGCACGUAGGGUAGCUCCUAGGGUAAAGCUUAGGGUUCACUUCAAGCCAAACCACCACGUGAGGGGGAACUCAGCCAACGCCAAGGAACGACUAUGUUUCAAAAUAAAAAUAUGAUUUAUGCGAAAUGUGAAUUUUUAACAGCCUUGGCGGUCUCGAUAGGAUGCCUUGGCCAAGGUGUCCCUAAGAAUGGAUUUAUGGCACAAGCCUAGUUUUUAUGAGAUUCAUAAGCCUCUUUACGUAUUUUGAAUGAAAUGUGUUCUAAUAUUGUGACCCAAUUUACGAUGAUUUACUUUAUUGUCUCCG